UCGAGUAAAUUAACAACCAAAAUGAUGCGUAUUAGUCUAAUUGAUGCAUGCAAACAGUUUAAAAUAUAAAACAAGUAAAUGUAUUAUGAAAUAGCAGCUUUGAUGAAUGGAAUAACAGUUAGAUAGGAAAUAACUUUACUGACGCCGGAUUUCAAGACGUCAUUUAGCUUCAGGCGAAGAUAAAAGUAUUACACCGGAAGAAAAUUAAGGCCAAGUUCGACGAAUAAUCCACCUUGAGGCAGAGUUUGUUAGCUGACGUGUCGGUAUGCAGCUAUGGAUCAAGUAUAAUAGAAUGCUUGAUGAAUCCUCAAAGUGCGUGGCUUGAUUCUUCAGAAUGCUGUUCUUGAAAAUAUACAGCAUCCAAUAUUAACUUUCCCCACGACAUAUUUUGGGUGGUAUAUGGACGCAAAGAAAGCAGGAAGCGACCAUGAUAUCAAUAAAUUGAACGACCAAUUGGAUCAUUUUAGAAGUUUAUCCAUACGCCGAGAAUAGAAUAUCAUUACCGGGAGUGUCGAGAAUAGAUCUGAAGGGGAAGGAAGCAGAACAAGUCAAUGCAAUGAUGAGAAUGUAAGAGAGAGACAGAGUUACAUGGAAUCUUAAUCAAUAUUCACAGUUCACAAGGCUCGUUAUUUCUGGAGAAAAAAGCAUUGUAACCUCUUGUUGCUAUGGAUAUAUCGUAAGUAUGGAUAUAGAGUGAAACAGAGAGUACAAAAGAGGCCGAAGAAAGUUCAUAAAUUUGUACAAGCAAGAGUAUACAUGGAAGUAGCCGUCUAAAAUGCAUUAACUAGGAAGCUUGAGCUGCAAAAUACAGAACACGUAAUGGCGUGCGGUUUCAACAUGGAUAUUUACCUCCAGUGAGGUGGCACAUUUUACAUAAAUUUUAACCUACAUAUGUGAGAAUCUAGAAGGUUUAUAUCACUCUUUUUAAUUUUUCUCUUCUUUACAUUCUAUUUCAUCUGAUGAAUAUACUCAUUCAAUUUUUUCAAAUUUUUUUCAUCCUCUUAUUCAACCCUCUUCUUUACUCUUCGUGCUUUUUGUAAAUCAGUAAUCGGACAAUUAAGCGUUCAUGGAGGCCAAAUUACUGCAUCUGCAA